GGCCCUGCCAGUGUCUCCGCCGGUUGAAAGCGCGUGUCUGCGUCGGGUUCUGUUGGAGUGCGUUCGGUGCGCCGUGGGUCCGCGCUGCUUCCACCCAACUUCCUGUUAGUUUCCAUCAUUAUCUUCUAUGGAGUUCUUCAUUCCCACAUCUGUGGACCUUAAAAUCCUACCGUUGAGUGCCUGCCUUGGAUCAGCAGUCAGUUCGUUACCUUGGUUCUCAGACGAUGCUUGCAACAACGCCAUGCGAUUCGCCCACUCUUGGGUUACAUUAGUUAUACACUCUGGAGGUGACUUGACCUGUCAUUGUGAACAAUUAUUGCUCUUGGACGACCCAGGACAUAGGCCAGCCAGUACGUACCCCAGUGUGUUGGAGAAUCGCGCUCGGCUUCUUCCUCUGUGCUGAGUCAUGAAAGUUGCCGGAGCAGGUGCAGUUACACAACCUCCAGGUAUGAUCCUGUUUAAGGACUGGAUUUAGGAUAACUACUUAGAGGUUAAAAGUCACAAGGGUGUAUGGAUGAGGCUGGAGUGAUCUGGGACCAAAGACAUCUAGGCUUGCUGUCAAGGCUUCUGAUCAACAUGAGAUGACCGCCGUGUGGUAAACUGAUGAACCCUGACCCUGAUCAACAUGAGAUGACCGCCGUGUGGUAAACUGAUGAACCCCGACCCUGAUGAACGUGAGAUGACCGCCGUGUGGUAAACUGAUGAACCCCGACCCUGAUGAACGUGAGAUGACCGCCGUGUGGUAAACUGAUGAACCCCGACCCUGAUGAACGUGAGAUGACCGCCGUGUGGUAAACUGAUGAACCCCGACCCUGAUGAACGUGAGAUGACCGCCGUGUGGUAAACUGAUGAACCCCGACCCUGAUCAACGUGAGAUGACCGCCGUGUGGUAAACUGAUGAACCCCGACCCUGAUGAACAUGAGAUGACCGCCGUGUGGUAAACUGAUGAACCCCGACCCUGAUCAACAUGAGAUGACCGCCGUGUGGUAAACUGAUGAACCCCGACCCUGAUCAACAUGAGAUGACUGCCGUGUGGUAAACUGAUGAACCCUGACCCAUUAGGCUUUGGCUACAGAAUGUGGAAAUAAGUUGUGUUACUACAUGUGUGUAAUCCUAGGGUGCAGGACACCGGCCGGGAGGUUCCAUAGAGUGAUGGGUUCUGCAGGUAACUCAUCCUCUAGUCCUCUGUAAGCUCCUAGAAGGAAGAAAUUAUGUCCUUUAGACUAAUAAAAUUCCUCCAAACCAAA
ensembl:lncRNA LINC01128 long intergenic non-protein coding RNA 1128